AAACUUAUCAUCCAUAACCAGAUAAGGAACCUGUUACACAUUUACAAAAGCCUGAGAUCACAAAGUUCCAGGUUGUGAUCUAGCCCUUGGGAAAGUAAGGUGACUGCUAUUUGCUGAAUCAAAGGACUUGCAGGAGCUGACCAUAGAAGAGCUGGUUAGAAAUCUGAAGACCUACGAGACGAAGAGGAAUAUAGAUAGAGAAAGAAGAGAACCAAAGAAAGAAAAGAACCUGGUACUCAAAGCUGAUAGCAAUGACUCAAGUGAGGAAGAGUGGAAAGAACAUCUGAGGAAACAUGACCCUACCAGUUCCUGAGGAGACUGUAUGAAGUCAACUCUCCAGUAGGAAAGUUGUUGCAUGCAUACGCUAUUGUACAAGAACAAUGCAGCAGUCAACUUUCUGUGGAAGGUUUUUUACCUUCCUUGCUUACAUCAUUUUAAGUGAUGUCACACAUGUAUAAAUACCAUCAAGGAAGGUAUAACAACUUACUUCAUGAGAGAACCAGAUAAAGGACCUGAAGCAUGCAUGGUACAAUCAUUCAAGUUAAUCGACUCAAGAUAAUCUGGGUAGUGUGUUUUAGAUUCACAGGAACCAGAUUAGGGACCUAAUACCUUGGUGUUUUCCUGACAGAAGUAUAUGUCAAGUGUACAGCUGGAAAGCAACUGCAGAAAGUGACUUCCUAUAACUGUGCAGCAGAUAGUGCAACAGUCACUUCCCAUUGGGUAAAGGCAUGUACUAACCAAGAUUUGACAUCACCAUUGUCUUUUUGCAAUAUAAACCUGGUGCAAGACGCAAGGAAUCUUCCUCUCAACACUUGUAAAAAUCAGAAAAGAAAAUAUCCUCUCAAGUGCUUGCUACAACCUCUUUCAAGAACAAAGCUGUUGUAACCUCAAGUACCAGAUCCAAGAUUGAAGAUAUAUUAAGUCCUUAGGUUUGUUGAGUCUUUGUUAUUUGUUCUUCAAUUGUAACUCCUAUCUUGCUUUCUUAGAAGCUGAUUUUAGGAAACCUAAAAUCACAAACCCUCUAAGUUUGUGUCUUGGCUAGAGUUAGUCGAGUUGUGUCUUUGAAACUAGAGAGUUAUAAAGUGGCUUGUAAUAGUGUUAUUACAAGUUAGAGUAAAAGCCUUUGUAUCUGUAGAGUGACAAAGUGGCUUGUGGUCAGAGCAUCAUAAGUUAGUUAAAUUCUUUGUAACUAGGGAUUCACAAAGUGGCUUGUGGUAGGAGUACCACAAGUUAGUUGAAUUCUUUGUAAUAGAGUCAUUACAAAGUGGCCUGUAAUAGGUAUUUACAAGUUUGUGAAGUUGAAAGCCUACAAGUGUAGGUCGUGGUUUUUGUCCCCUUGAGUUAGGAUUUUUCCACGUAACAAUCCUCUGUGUUCUUUACUUACUGCCGAGCUAUUGUGGUAACAAUUAGAGAACCUGAUUCCCUAUACUGGUUGGUUGCAUAGUCUGUUGCUUAUAGUAGGAAUUGCUAGAGAAUCUGGUUCACUAUACAGUGGGAACUUAUCUUGUGUCUCAUCUACAUACUGGUUCCGCAGUUAGCAAUGUACCAAACUGAUACAUGACCAGAUCACUAUACAGUUUGGUUCAUCAGUAUUUACAGUGGAAACUCAUAGAGAACCCGGUUCUCUAUACAGUCUGGUGGACGCUAUAUUUCUAAUAGUUGGUAUCCGAGCGGGUUCUUUCUAAAAAGUUAACACCUAUAAAAGAUCUACAUGGCUGCUCCACCAAACUUUGAGGAAAGUUAAUCAACCAAUAGACCACAAAGAUUUCAGAAGAUGGGUCGCAAAAAUGGUGGGAUCCCUAAGAAAGGAAGUUCCAGUUUGCUGGAACUCCAAAGGAAAUGAUUGUUGUCAUAAGUGUGGAAAGCCUGGACACUUCAUCAAAGACUGCCCAUUUCUGAAACAAGAGCAUCACAAACACAACUCUGACAAAGUAGCAAAAAGUGGUUCCUGACAAACGAUUCAGCCGAAAAAGUGCAGUUGACAAUAUUGUGAAGCAAGCUCUUGCUGCAUGGGGAGACACCUCUAGUGAAUCAGAAGUGGAACUAGAUGCAGGAAGCAGCUCCAUGAUGGCAAUCCAAAAUGAAGAUGAUUCAUUGUUUGCAUUGAUGGCUCAGUCCGAUGAGGAUGAAGAGGAUUACAAUGAUGAGGUGAAUUUCAGGGAUGUUUAGAGAAAUCUGAAGUCCUACUCUUCGAAGAAAUUAAUGUCAUUAGCAAAUGUUCUAAUUGAUACAUAUUAUAGUUUUGUUAAUGAUAAUGAUGCCCUAAUCAUAGAGCUAGGAGAUGCUGAACAAUCUAGAGAUGAUUUGAUGGUAGUCGUUGUUGACUUGAAGAAAACCAUAGAGAACCUUAGCAAAGAGAAGAAUACUCUAGUAGAGAAAAUUGCUGCUAACGGAGCAAGAAAGUGAUGAUAUGGUAGUUUCCUUUGAAGAUUUAAGAGAACAAAUGGAAGAAGUAACUAGAGAACAUAACUUGUUGAAAAAACAAACAAAAAGUACUGAUAAUAGGUUGUGCACUCACUGUGGUCAAACUGGUCAUUGCAAGGACUCAUGUAAAGUUAAAACUCAGUCUUUGCAGAAAAACAAAAUCUUGUUGAAAAGAGGCGUACUGAUAAGGAAACUAGUUCCCUGAAAAGAAAAUAUGUGUUGCCUGCAUGCGCAAAAAGAAGUUUGAUCCGCUCGUUCUAUCAUUAUAAGUGACCCAGUGACUGCUCGAAGCUCAUAACUGGAAGAACAAAUGAUUUCCUUUCACUGAAGGCCCUGCAAGGAGGGAGUGCAUCCGUUGAAAAUAACAAAAAAGGAUACAUUCUGGGAGUUGGAAGGAUCGGGAAGCCUCUUUACCACUCUAUUGAAAAUGCGUACUUCGUGAAGAGGUUGAAGUAUAGCUUGCUGGGUAUUUCCUGGGAUCUUAGCUGUCUGAGUGCGGUUAAUGGUAAUGCUGAGCUGUGGCACAAAAGGCUGGGUCAUGCAAGUUUCACGUUGCUGAAUAAAUUAGUCAAGAAGGACCUGGUUCGUGUUCUGCCAAAUUCAAAUUUGAAGGAACACAGAGUGUGUGCUAAGGGAAAUAUCUGAUAAUUCAAAUGGGAAGGUUGAUAUGAUGAGUCAGAUGAAGAAGACAGGUGAAUACAAUGCAACAUCCUCUUCCACUUCUCAAGAGGAACCCGGUACUUCAAUUACUACCACUGAAGCUAAAGAAAGAGUUGGAGAUGUAGUGAAAGACACUCCACAAGUAGCAAAACAAGGAGUGCAGGGAAAUCCAUUGCAAUGCAAGAGGAACUACAUCAAUCUGAAAGAAACAAGGUGCGACACCUGAUACCUAGACCCUCAGACAGAACCAUCAUAGGGACCAGGUGGGUAUUUAGGAAUAAGCUGGAUGGACAUGGAAAUACUAUAAGGAACAAAGAAAGGCAUGCUGUCCAAGGAUACAAUAAGGAGGAAGGGAUCGAUUAUGAUAAGACUUUUGCCCCUGUAGCUCGCAUGGAAGCUACUAGGAUCCUCAUUGCCUUUGUUUCACAUAUUGAAUUCACCCUAUUCCAAAUGGAUGUGAAGAGUGCCUUCCUGAAUGGUUUUUUCAAGAAAGGAGUCUAUAUCAAGCUACCUCCAGAUUUUGAAUGUCAUGUACAUCCUGAACAUGUAUUCAAAUGAUAAGACAAUAGAAGUACAUCAAGAAGCUGUUGAAGAGAUUUGACAUGAAGACAUCAAAAAAUCAUUGACAGUCCUAUCACCAUAGCUACUUGUCUAGACAUGGAUGAACCUGGUUCCCCUAUAAAUCAGACCAUGUAUAGAGGUAUCAUAGGGUCACUUAUAUAGCAGACCAAAUAUUGUUUUUAGUGUAGGUCUUUGUGCUGAGUUUCAAACCAAUCCAAAGGAAUCUCAUCUGAAAGAUGCCAAGAGAAUCCUAAGAUAUCUAAGAGGGAUGCAGGACCUAGUUCUCUACUAUCCCUUGGGAGAUAACAUUGAAUUGGUUGGAUAUACUAAUGGUGAUUAUGUUGGAUAUCUGGUGGACCGAAAGACCGCUUCUGGAACGACACAUUUUAUGGGGUCAUGCUUGAUCUAAUGGGGUACAAAGAGACGAACUGUGUGGCUCUUCCUACUGCUAAACCUGAAUAAGUGGUUGUUGCUUCUUGUUGGGCUCAAAUAGUACAGAUCAAGAAACACCUUGAAGAUUUUGGUGUAUACAUUGAUUGUGUACCACUUCUAUGUGAAAACACCAAUUCUCUCAACAUGGCAAAGAAUCCGGUUCAACACAAGAGAACUAAGCACAUUGAUGUCAGACACCAUUUUCUCAGGGACAAUGUUGAAAAGGUUCUGAUUUGUAUGAAGUUCUGGAAGACGAAGGAUCAGGUAGCAGACAUCUUCACCAAGGCACUAAGCAAGGAACAUUUUGAAAGAAAUCGUCUGGAGUUGGAGUUGAUCAAGCUCAACGAAGGACCUGGUCCCUCGAUGAUUGGCUAUGUUAAGAAGGAAAGGUACAAUGCUAAAAGUGUUUUUCAGUGACAUCUAACUCAAAUCUCUACUAUUACAGGUAUACAUAUAUGGCAGUUGCAGGACAAAAACAAGUAAUAGUGACUUUGCACUUCUAGGAGUCUUUGCUCAAAAUUUUCAAAAACCGUCAAGGAACCCGGUUCCUGCGACUCAGGCUCGAACCAUGGGUUCAAUCAAGGACGAGGUUGCUGUUCAGUCUAAGAUCAGGUUUGGUCAUAACAUUGCGAUUGGUUUGAUCAUUUAUUUAGUCUUUAGUUCAUUUAUUUGCUAUUCUUAACUAUUCGUGUUGAAUUAAAUCACACAUCCUUUAAACUGCAUGUAAAUUUAAUUGUUACCUAAUUUUGGGGUAAACAAUUGGAAUAUUGGUGUAUGUAACUAACAGAAGUAUAGUUAGUUGUUAAUUAGUGUAGUUAGAACUGUAUUUAAUUGUAACCAGGCUGUUAGAACUGUUAGAUCUUGGUUUUAAUAAUGAAAAAUAACUUACUCUUAUUGCAUGCAACCAAAAUUCUGGAGAAGAAUACUAUAUCUGAAAAGUGGACGUUGCGAAGCAAAAGGAUCAAGAAAGGAAAUCUGAAUCAACAUAGAAUCCGGAAAGUUAUCCAAAGAAGGAAGGUUAAGAUAACAUAAUCAAUCCAGAUGGAAAAAUUGUUAUUGGUCAUCAAUCAUGAACACCAAGAAAUAUCAUAUCAAAUAGGAAUAUGGGAGAUUUGCAAGGCCAAUCAGUUACGCCAUUCAAGGGAAGCAUGCCAAUCAUAUUGAGCUUCAAGGAUCAAUUACAGUAAAGUUACAACCUUGUUCUUGGAAGGAAUCAAUUAAGGUUCACUCCAAGGAUCAAUUCAUUCGGGUUGCCUAUCUCUCAAAGAUCUGCUCCGGCCAAGACCCAUAUUAACAGAUCGUCCCUCAAGAUAUAGAUAAGGGAUAUACUUUGAUCAAGCCAACCUCAAGCUGUUUGUUCUACUACAACAAGUAUCAUAGUCUAUUCUAGAUUUACUGUGAAACUAGUGGAGAGAAGAAAGAGAAAAAUAUUAUUGGUGAGGCAUUGUAUCAAAAAAAUAUAGAGAGUUACUUGUGUUCUAAGAAGCAAUUGGUGUAUGCUUGGCAACAUCAACUCACUUGUACCGAGAAAUUUCAAGGAACUUUGAAGAGAGAA